GAUGAACGCUGGCGGCGUGCCUAAUACAUGCAAGUCGAGCGAACAGACGAGGAGCUUGCUCCUCUGACGUUAGCGGCGGACGGGUGAGUAACACGUGGAUAACCUACCUAUAAGACUGGGAUAACUUCGGGAAACCGGAGCUAAUACCGGAUAAUAUAUUGAACCGCAUGGUUCAAUAGUGAAAGACGGUUUUGCUGUCACUUAUAGAUGGAUCCGCGCCGCAUUAGCUAGUUGGUAAGGUAACGGCUUACCAAGGCGACGAUGCGUAGCCGACCUGAGAGGGUGAUCGGCCACACUGGAACUGAAACACGGUCCAGACUCCUACGGGGGGCAGCAGUAGGGAAUCUUCCGCAAUGGGCGAAAGCCUGACGGAGCAACGCCGCGUGAGUUAUGAAGGUCUUCGGAUCGUAAAACUCUGUUAUUAGGGAAGAACAAAUGUGUAAGUAACUAUGCACGUCUUGACGGUACCUAAUCAGAAAGCCACGGCUAACUACGUG
rnacentral:rRNA from 1 species